rnacentral:tRNA from 1 species
UCCCUUAUAGCUCAGUCAGUAAAGAAUCUGCCUGGAAUGCAGGAGACCCAGGUUUGAUUCCUGGGUUGGGAA